rnacentral:rRNA from 1 species
AUUGAACGCUAGCGGGAUGCUUUACACAUGCAAGUCGAACGAGUGGCGGACGGGUGAGUAAUAUAUCGGAACGUGCCCCGUAGCGGGGGAUAACUACUCGAAAAAGUGGCCAAUACCGCCUAGCAUCGGAGGUGCCCAGAUGGGAUUCUCUAGUGGGGGGGGUAAAGGCUCACCUAGGCGACGAUCCCUGGCGGGUCGGAGAGGAGUACCAGCCACCCGGGAACUGAGACACGGUCCAGACUCCUACGGGAGGAAGCAGUGGGGAAUAGUGCACAAUGGGCGCAAGCCUGAUGCAGCCAGGCCGCGUGUAUGAAGAAGGCCUUCGGUUUGUAAAGUACUUUCAGCGGGGAGCGUUACCCGCAGAAGAAGCACCGGCUAACUCCGUGCCAGCAGCCGCGGUAAUUC